AACGAACGCUGGCGGCAGGCUUAACACAUGCAAGUCGAACGCUCGUAGCAAUACGGGAGUGGCGGACGGGUGAGUAACGCGUGGGAACGUGCCCUGAGGUACGGAAUAACUGCGGGAAACUGCAGCUAAUACCGUAUGAGCCCCGUGAGGGGGAAAGAUUUAUCGCCUUAGGAGCGGCCCGCGUCGGAUUAGCUAGUUGGUGGGGUAACGGCUUACCAAGGCUUCGAUCCGUAGCUGGUCUGAGAGGACGAUCAGCCACACUGGGACUGAGACACGGCCCAGACUCCUACGGGAGGCAGCAGUGGGGAAUCUUGCGCAAUGGGGGCAACCCUGACGCAGCCAUGCCGCGUGAAUGAUGAAGGCCUUAGGGUUGUAAAGUUCUUUUGCCCGUGACGAUGAUGACGGUAACGGGAGAAUAAGCUCCGGCUAACUUCGUGCCAGCAGCCGCGGUAAAGUCUGUACU
rnacentral:rRNA from 1 species